GCAUAACGCGAAGAACCUUACCCACCUUUGACAUGUACGGAAUCCUUUAGAGAUAGAGGAGUGCUCGAAAGAGAGCCGUAACACAGGUGCUGCAUGGCUGUCGUCAGCUCGUGUCGUGAGAUGUUGGGUUAAGUCCCGCAACGAGCGCAACCCUUGCCAUUAGUUGCUACGAAAGGGCACUCUAAUGGGACUGCCGGUGACAAACCGGAGGAAGGUGGGGAUGACGUCAAGUCCUCAUGGCCCUUAUAGGUGGGGCUACACACGUCAUACAAUGGCUGGUACAGAGGGUUGCCAACCCGCGAGGGGGAGCUAAUCCCAUAAAGCCAGUCGUAGUCCGGAUCGCAGUCUGCAACUCGACUGCGUGAAGUCGGAAUCGCUAGUAAUCGCGGAUCAGAAUGUCGCGGUGAAUACGUUCCCGGAUCUUGUACACACCG
rnacentral:rRNA from 1 species